rnacentral:rRNA from 1 species
CCUACGGGAGGCAGCAGUGAGGAAUAUUGGUCAAUGGGCGAGAGCCUGAAUCAGCCAAGUCGCGUGAGGGAUGACGGUCCUAUGGAUUGUAAACCUCUUUUGUCGGGGCACAAAGGCGUCCACGUGUGGACUGAUUAGUGUAACCGAAGAAAAAGCAUCGGCUAACUCCGUGCCAGCAGCCGCGGUAAUACGGAGGAUGCGAGCGUUAUCCGGAUUUAUUGGGUUUAAAGGGUGCGUAGGCGGACAGUCAAGUCAGCGGUAAAAAUGCGGUGCUCAACGCCGUACAGCCGUUGAAACUGGCAGUCUUGAGUGGGCGAGAAGUAUGCGGAAUGCGGGGUGUAGCGGUGAAAUGCAUAGAUAUCACGCAGAACUCCGAUUGCGAAGGCAGCAUACCGGCGCCCUACUGACGCUGAGGCACGAAAGCGUGGGUAUCGAACAGGAUUAGAUACCCGUGUAGUC